GUCAGAGCAGCUGGGAUCAAAUCCUAUUUUCCUACAGCAGCAUCAGUGUGAAAGUACAAGUAUGAGUCAGGCAAGGACAAUGAGUUUGGAAGAGCAAAUCAGGAGCCUCUCACCAGUUGCAGCACAUGCUCUGGCAAUUGCUGAAAUUACAGAUGACAUUGACAUUCAAGAGUUAACAAGAGCAGAUCUGAACGAACUUCUGCCAGGCCUUCAACAUUUAAAACUUAGAAAGAAGAUCAGUGAACUUAUAAAUACAUCUAAACAGGUUGGUAUAGCCCCAAUAGCUUCUAAAGUUACUGUACCACUAUUCUGGAAUCAUUCACUAGUUACUAGAAUGUUUGAUUCAAUGUGCAAUUCCAUUGGAUGUACUAAUUCCCCUGUUUUCUGUAAUAUUUCUGAUUCUUAGAACACAGCUAAACCUAUUGCUUUAGUUCUUAACAAGCUAAGGGAAUUCCUUCCGGUUGAUGUCAUGGAGAGUAAGUCCCUUUUCAAAACAAUUCAGCAUAGCACUCACCCAAUACAGUUUUGGUGUAUCUUUCGUUGUAAUUGUAUGCACUGGUCACUUUCUCCUUACAGAUGCACUUGUUCCCGGGGGAGUGUUACAUGGCUACUUCCCUAUUCUUAGAGAUUUGGAGAAGCAGCUGGCCGAAGCCCUCUACUUCAUUCAGGCACACGUUGGUUUGCUCGAGAGCUACAUUGGAGAAGAGUCCAUGGAGGCUCAGAGCAGUGCUGCAUCUCCAUCAGUUGACUCUGCUACAGCAGGAAACCAACCAUCAAAUGUUGAGGUCCAGAAAACAUCUGUUAAUCGCACCUCAGGAUCAUCAGCCUUAUGUGCCGCUGACAGCCAGCCCAAACAAUGCAGAACAGAAGUGUCUGGUGCGCCGAACAGACCCACCUUCAAAGAAACUCAAGAUGAGACCUCAAUGUCACACUCUCAUACUUCAGGAGCAGCUGGUGCUGACACCCAUUUUCAAAAAAGUAUAACGGAUCCUUCUCAAAUUUCCACCGGUAGUGGGCUGCACGAGCCACGAUGCAAACAAGGAGAUAAGAUGUCCUCAUCUUGGUGGAAUUUUAGAGCAACUGAACCUCUAAAUAAGAAACAAGCAGUUAAAGUCCAUUCACAAGUCUGUGGAAAAACCCUGGACACUCACCUUGCACUCAUGAAACAAGUGGAUGAUCUGGCAGUAGGACUAAAGCGAGAGGAGACCAGACCAGAAGACUGCCAAGUCAUAAUAGCCUUCUGUCCUAUUACAUCUCGUGUGGGAACAGACAUUGAUGCCGCCAUGAGCAAAGUUCAAAGUAACAAAGAUGUCAUUCUAGUGGUGAUGCACCAUACUUUUGAUCACUGCUUUGUCACAAGCCAGAGAUCUGCAUCUCACUACAUAAACGUAGUGGAGGAAGUUAAUGUUCUCUUCCAUGACUCUAUGGGACUUCUGCGUUGUGAAACAAAUGAUAAAGCAGUGACUCUCAUACACAAGGCCUUACAGAAAUACAGCAGCACUACUUACAAACGUUAA
rnacentral:lncRNA from 1 species